GAUGAACGCUGGCGGCGUGCUUAACACAUGCAAGUCGAGCGGACGGACGCGUAGCUUGCUGCUGUGAUGUUAGCGGCGGACAGGGGAGUAAUACGUGGAGAAUCUCCCUCUCCGUUUUGGAUAACAUCGGGAAGACGGAGCUACUACCAGAUGAUAUUCUGAGCCUCAUGGUUCAUGAGUCAAGGAAGGUCUUGCUUUCAGUGAGAGAUGGAUUCGCGCCGCAUUAGCUAGUUGGUAGGGUAACGGCCUACCAAGGCAACGAUGCAUAGCCGACCUGAGAGGGUGGUCGGCGACACUAGAGCGGAGGCGCGGCCCAGACUCCUACGAGAGGCAGCAGUAGGGAAGCUUACGGCAUGGGCGGAAGAAUGACGGAGCAGCGCCGCGGGAGGGGUGAUGGUGUUCGGAGCGUUGUGCUCUGUUAUUGGGGGUGAAGAUAUGUGUAAGCAUCUGUGCACAUGUUGACGGUAGCUAAAUAAAAAGCCCCGGCUAACUACGUG
rnacentral:rRNA from 1 species